rnacentral:rRNA from 1 species
UAGGGAAUCUUCGGCAAUGGACGGAAGUCUGACCGAGCAACGCCGCGUGAGUGAAGAAGGGUUUCGGAUCGUAAAGCUCUGUUGUUAGAGAAGAACGUUGGUCGGAGUGGAAAAUCUACCAAGUGACGGUAACUAACCAGAAAGGGACGGCUAACUACGUGCCAGCAGCCGCGGUAAUACGUAGGUCCCGAGCGUUGUCCGGAUUUAUUGGGCGUAAAGCGAGCGCAGGCGGUUCUUUAAGUCUGAAGUUAAAGGCAGUGGCUUAACCAUUGUACGCUUUGGAAACUGUAGGACUUGAGUGCAGAAGGGGGGACUGGAAUUCCAUGUGUAGCGGUGAAAUGCGUAGCUAUAGGGAGGAACACCGGUGGCGAAAGCAGCUCUCUGGUCUGUAACUGACGCUGAGGCUCGAAAGCGUGGGGAGCAAACAGG